rnacentral:rRNA from 1 species
UGGUGGAGUGAUUUGUCUGGUUAAUUCCGUUAACGGACGAGACCUUAACCUGCUAAAUAGUUUCGCCUAACUCCGGUUAGGCGGGUAACUUCUUAGAGGGACUUUGUGUGUCUAACACAAGGAAGUUUGAGGCAAUAACA